rnacentral:rRNA from 1 species
UACAGAGGGGCGAGCGUUGUUCGGAAUUACUGGGCGGUAAAGGGCGCGUAGGCGGCUUGCUAAGUCGGACGGUGAAAUCCCUCCGGCUCAACCGGGGAACUGCGUCCGAUACUGGCGAGCUUGAAUUCGGGAGAGGGAUGUGGAAUUCCAGGUGAUAGCGGUGAAAUGCGCAGAUAUCAGGAAGAACACCCGUGGCGGAAGGCGGCUCUCUGGGGACGGUACUGGACGCU